rnacentral:rRNA from 1 species
CCUACGGGAGGCAGCAGUGGGGAAUUUUGGACAAUGGGCGCAAGCCUGAUCCAGCCAUGCCGCGUGUGGGAAGAAGGCCUUCGGGUUGUAAACCACUUUUGUCAGGGAAGAAACGGUCUGAACUAAUACUUUGGACUAAUGACGGUACCUGAAGAAUAAGCACCGGCUAACUACGUGCCAGCAGCCGCGGUAAUACGUAGGGUGCAAGCGUUAAUCGGAAUUACUGGGCGUAAAGCGUGCGCAGGCGGCUUUGCAAGACAGAUGUGAAAUCCCCGGGCUCAACCUGGGAACUGCAUUUGUGACUGCAUGGCUAGAGUACGGUAGAGGGGGAUGGAAUUCCGCGUGUAGCAGUGAAAUGCGUAGAUAUGCGGAGGAACACCGAUGGCGAAGGCAAUCCCCUGGACCUGUACUGACGCUCAUGCACGAAAGCGUGGGGAGCAAACAGGAUUAGAUACCCUGGUAGUCCACGCCCUAAACGAUGUCAACUGGUUGUUGGGAGGGUUUCUUCUCAGUAACGAAGCUAACGCGUGAAGUUGACCGCCUGGGGAGUACGGCCGCAAGGUUGAAACUUAAAGGAAAUUGACGGCGNGAGAGNGCGACGACGACGACGAGGAGGAGG